rnacentral:rRNA from 1 species
AGUCGAACGGAGCUAUUCAGGAAACUUCCUUCGGGGAGCGGAAUCUUUAGCUUAGUGGCGGACGGGUGAGUAACGCGUGAGCAAUCUGCCUUUGGAUGGGGGAUAACAGCCGGAAACGGUUGCUAAUACCGCAUAAUGCAACGGGACCGCAUGGUCCUGCUGCCAAAGAUUUAUUGUCCAAAGAUGAGCUCGCGUCUGAUUAGCCAGUUGGCGGGGUAACGGCCCACCAAAGCGACGAUCAGUAGCCGGACUGAGAGGUUGAACGGCCACAUUGGGACUGAGACACGGCCCAGACUCCUACGGGAGGCAGCAGUGGGGAAUAUUGCGCAAUGGGGGGAACCCUGACGCAGCAACGCCGCGUGAUUGAAGAAGGCCUUCGGGUUGUAAAGAUCUUUAAUCGGGGACGAAAUAUGACGGUACCCGAGGAAUAAGCUCCGGCUAACUACGUGCCAGCAGCCGCGGUAAUACGUAGGGAGCAAGCGUUAUCCGGAUUUACUGGGUGUAAAGGGCGUGUAGGCGGGCCUGCAAGUCAGAAGUGAAAUCUGGGGGCUUAACCCCCAAACUGCUUUUGAAACUGCGGGUCUUGAGUGAUGGAGAGGCAGGCGGAAUUCCCAGUGUAGCGGUGAAAUGCGUAGAUAUUGGGAGGAACACCAGUGGCGAAGGCGGCCUGCUGGACAUUAACUGACGCU